GAGAGAGAGAGAGAAGGAAAACCUAGGUUGUGUGAUUUUCAACCGAUUGGAGCGAUUCAAAAGCCUAAAUCACUUAGAAUCUUCCCCUCUUUCAUAAUCCUAGCUUUGUUUUGAGUGGGGAGCAUUGUGAAGAGAGAUAUUACCCCUCAAAAAUUCGACCAUUUGAGUGAUUUUGGGGUUUUGGGAAGUUCAACCUCCAUGGGAGCUUGAGGAACACUCCUUGCUUGGUUGUGUGACCAUUGGUGGAUUGAGACAUUUGGACCAACCGUGAGUGAUCAACCAUUGGAGCAAGCUAUGGAGCUUGAUUAGCUCCAUUGGAUAGGUUUUGUUUGAGAAGUGAAGUAUUGUAAUUGACUGACUGUGGAACCUGUUGGUGGUGAACAAAGGUUGACUGAAGCAUUGAGGUAAGGAUGCUGCAGGAGCCUCAGGUGGCAAGUGGCCAUAUCUGGAUUAUGCAUGAAAUAUGGCACUUCUUUGAGUUUAUGCAUGCCUUUUGUAGUUGACAUGUAUAGGAUUUUAUUUUGAAAGCCCAUGAUC